UAAUUUCCAAAAAAUAAAAUUUCCCUCCCCUAAAAAUUCAUAUCCCGCCCCUUUCCUCUUUCCCUCUUUUAACAAAAUUUAGCCUUAUCUCCUCCUUCCCUGAAAUCAACUCUAGCAAAGAUCUGAAACCCACCUUCACACAUAACAUCUCGGUUCACCAUCAUAGAUCUUAAGCCCAAAUUCAACCUUGAUUCUAAGUAACCCAUUACCACAUCCAAAUCCAACAUCUCAGUUCACCACCAUUUUCCCCCAAAACCCACCAUCAUCAUAGAUCUGAAACCCGGGUCUCCCCACUCCACCCGCUUUGAAUCUGGUAUGUUUUCCGAAUCACGAUUUCGUUUUAUAGUUCAUUGUAAUUUUGUACGGUUUAUUUAUUCAUUAUGUGCUGGUUAGAUCUAGGGCAAAUGUGUUGUGUUGUUGUUGAUUGUAGAUGUUGUCUUUUAGUGGUGGGUGGCAGAUGAGAUGUUACUUGAGAAAAAUCUUGCUUCAGGUAUACGAAGAAGGAGGAAGACAAGGAAAGGAAGAAGAAAGAUUUUUAGGGUUUUUUUUAUGGGCUUUGGGCUGGGCUGGGCUCAACUCAAAAGGUACGAAGAGGCAUUUUCCCCAAAAAAGUAGACCCACCCAAGAAACAUUUGGAGAUUCUUAUGUUUGGAGAACUUAUCAAAUGGUAACUAAUUAAUAUAAUCAACAAUUCUCUAUUAGAAUCUGAGGUUUGAAUGUGAAAAGAGGAAGGGGAGAACAAGGAAACCAAGAAAAAAAAUGAGUUAACCUUCAGUAAAUAGCUUCAAAAUCUUGUUACCUCAUCGAUAUGCUUUCAGUUGUAAGGAACAAAAGGGCUACGGAUAAUGAUAUAGAUGUUUUGUUGAUGACGUUGAUGUCGAAGUUUUUUAGCGAGUUAGGUAUUUCGUUAGUUUAGCUUUAUAUAUAGAUUAUAUGUAGUUUAUUUAUACAGUUUUAUGUAGUUUGUUAUGCAUUCAACAAAUGAUUGUAAUUUGACCGGUUUAUUUCCGAAUUGGAUGUCUACGGGUUUAUUU